GACGAACGCUGGCGGCGUGCUUAACACAUGCAAGUCGAACGGAAAGGCCCUGCUUUUGUGGGGUGCUCGAGUGGCGAACGGGUGAGUAACACGUGAGUAACCUGCCCUUGACUUUGGGAUAACUUCAGGAAACUGGGGCUAAUACCGGAUAGGAGCUCCUGCUGCAUGGUGGUGGUUGGAAAGUUUCGGCGGUUGGGGAUGGACUCGCGGCUUAUCAGCUUGUUGGUGGGGUAGUGGCUUACCAAGGCGUUGACGGGUAGCCGGCCUGAGAGGGUGACCGGCCACAUUGGGACUGAGAUACGGCCCAGACUCCUACGGGAGGCAGCAGUGGGGAAUAUUGCACAAUGGGCGGAAGCCUGAUGCAGCAACGCCGCGUGCGGGAUGACGGCCUUCGGGUUGUAAACCGCUUUCGCCUGUGACGAAGCGUGAGUGACGGUAAUGGGUAAAGAAGCACCGGCUAACUACGUG
rnacentral:rRNA from 1 species